CGUCAAAUCAUCAUGCCCCUUAUGACCUGGGCUACACACGUGCUACAAUGGGUGGUACAACGGGCAGCGAAACCGCGAGGUGGAGCGAAUCCCUGAAAGCCACUCUCAGUUCGGAUUGCAGGCUGCAACUCGCCUGCAUGAAGCCGGAAUCGCUAGUAAUCGCGGAUCAGCAUGCCGCGGUGAAUACGUUCCCGGGCCUU
rnacentral:rRNA from 1 species